GUGUCAGCCGCCGCGGUAAGACGAACCGUGCGAACGUUAUUCGGAAUCACUGGGCUUAAAGCGCGUGUAGGCGGAUCGGAACGUCGAUGCCUGAAAUCCCCCGGCUCAACCGGGGAACGUGGCCCGAAACGACCGGUCUCGAGGGGUGUAGGGGGGACUGGAACUUCCGGUGGAGCGGUGAAAUGCGUUGAGAUCGGAAGGAACGCCCGUGGCGAAAGCGAGUCCCUGGACGCCUGCUGACGCUGAGACGCGAAAGCUAGGGGAGCGAACGGGAUUAGAAACCCCGGUAGUCC
rnacentral:rRNA from 1 species